UACAGAGGGUGCAAGCGUUAAUCGGAAUUACUGGGCGCAAAGCGUGCGUAGACGGUUACAUAAGUCGGGUGUGAAAGCCCCGGGCUCAACCUGGGAAUUGCAUUCGAGACUGCGUAGCUAGGGUGCGGAAGAGGGAAGCGGAAUUUCCGGUGUAGCGGUGAAAUGCGUAGAUAUCGGAAGGAACACCAGUGGCGAAAGCGGCUUCCUGGUCCAGCACCGACGUUCAGGCACGAAAGCGUGGGGAGCAAACAGG
rnacentral:rRNA from 1 species